rnacentral:tRNA from 1 species
UCGCCCUCGCCGAUGGCGCGGAGCGUCGACGCGAGGUCGGCCUUGCCGUCGAGCGGCACGGCGAGGCGGGUGUUCAGGCGCUCGCGGCGAU